AAUGCAGACAAUCAACAAAGAUAAGAUCAUGUGCACAUCCGAAUCCGAAGAUGGCGAUUUGCCAAGUUAUCAAAUGAACCAUGACACCACAAACACAGAGAAUUUCGAUGAUGUUGGAGAGAGUCCGUUUGGUUCAGAAUUCAGCAUGAUACCAGAUUUUACUAAUAUUUUGGAAUUGGCUCCUGCCUAUUCCACAAAAAUGGAUGAUGCGAUGGCUGACAGUAUUCUGCGGGACAUAUUGAACAAAACUGAAUAUUGUCACAACACAGCUAUACAGACCGGCAAUGCUGUUGAUGAGCGACCAUUUUUUCCCCAUUCGACAGGGGGCCGGGCUCAAACAUUCGAAUAUAAAG